rnacentral:rRNA from 1 species
CGUAGGGGGCAAGCGUUGUCCGGAAUUAUUGGGCGUAAAGGGCGCGUAGGCGGAUAGUUAAGUCCGGUGUGAAAGAUCAGGGCUCAACCCUGAGAGUGCAUCGGAAACUGGUUAUCUUGAGGACAGGAGAGGAAAGUGGAAUUCCACGUGUAGCGGUGAAAUGCGUAGAUAUGUGGAGGAACACCAGUGGCGAAGGCGACUUUCUGGACUGUAACUGACGCUGAGGCGCGAAAGCGUGGGGAGCAAACAGGAUUAGAUACCCUGGUAGUCCACGCUGUAAACGAUGAGUGCUAGGUGUAGAGGGUAUCGACCCUUCUGUGCCGCAGUUAACACAAUAAGCACUCCGCCUGGGGAGUACGGCCGCAAGGUUG